AGAGUUUGAUCAUGGCUCAGGACGAACGCUGGCGGCGCGCCUAACACAUGCAAGACGAACGAGCGAGAGAGAGCUUGCUUUCUCGAGCGAGUGGCAAACGGGUGAGUAACGCGUGAGGAACCUGCCUCAAAGAGGGGGACAACAGUUGGAAACGACUGCUAAUACCGCAUAAGCCCACGGCUCGGCAUCGAGCAGAGGGAAAAGGAGCAAUCCGCUUUGAGAUGGCCUCGCGUCCGAUUAGCUAGUUGGUGAGGUAACGGCCCACCAAGGCGACGAUCGGUAGCCGGACUGAGAGGUUGAACGGCCACAUUGGGACUGAGACACGGCCCAGACUCCUACGGGAGGCAGCAGUGGGGAAUAUUGCACAAUGGGGGAAACCCUGAUGCAGCGACGCCGCGUGGAGGAAGAAGGUCUUCGGAUUGUAAACUCCUGUUGUUGGGGAAGAUAAUGACGGUACCCAACAAGGAAGUGACGGCUAACUACGUGCCAGCAGCCGCGGUAAAACGUAGGUCACAAGCGUUGUCCGGAGUUACUGGGUGUAAAGGGAGCGCAGGCGGGAAGACAAGUUGGAAGUGAAAUCUAUGGGCUCAACCCAUAAACUGCUUUCAAAACUGUUUUUCUUGAGUAGUGCAGAGGUAGGCGGAAUUCCCGGUGUAGCGGUGGAAUGCGUAGAUAUCGGGAGGAACACCAGUGGCGAAGGCGGCCUACUGGGCACCAACUGACGCUGAGGCUCGAAAGUGUGGGUAGCAAACAGGAUUAGAUACCCUGGUAGUCCACACCGUAAACGAUGAUUACUAGGUGUUGGAGGAUUGACCCCUUCAGUGCCGCAGUUAACACAAUAAGUAAUCCACCUGGGGAGUACGACCGCAAGGUUGAAACUCAAAGGAAUUGACGGGGGCCCGCACAAGCAGUGGAGUAUGUGGUUUAAUUCGACGCAACGCGAAGAACCUUACCAAGUCUUGACAUCCCUUGACAGGCAUAGAAAUAUGUUUUCUCUUCGGAGCAAGGAGACAGGUGGUGCAUGGUUGUCGUCAGCUCGUGUCGUGAGAUGUUGGGUUAAGUCCCGCAACGAGCGCAACCCUUAUGGUCAGUUACUACGCAAGAGGACUCUGGCCAGACUGCCGUUGACAAAACGGAGGAAGGUGGGGAUGACGUCAAAUCAUCAUGCCCUUUAUGACCAGGGCUACACACGUGCUACAAUGGCGUAAACAAAGAGAAGCGAACUCGCGAGGGUAAGCAAAUCUCAAAAAUAACGUCUCAGUUCGGAUUGUAGUCUGCAACUCGACUACAUGAAGCUGGAAUCGCUAGUAAUCGCAGAUCAGAAUGCUGCGGUGAAUACGUUCCCGGGUCUUGUACACACCGCCCGUCACACCAUGGGAGUCAGUAACGCCCGAAGUCAGUGACCCAACCGUAAGGAGGGAGCUGCCGAAGGUGGGACCGAUAACUGGGGUGAAGUCGUAACAAGGUA
rnacentral:rRNA from 1 species